UGUGGGAUAGUUUAAUCGGCAGAACAGUGGACUCUGGAUCCAUUAGUCCUGGUUCGAGUCCAGGUCCCACAG
rnacentral:tRNA from 2 species